UGAACUUCUCCGCCUUUUGGCUAAGAUCAAGUGUAGUAUCUGUUCUUAUCAAUUUCUAUUAUGAACAAUCAAGAGAUGCUAGUUCUAUCCUAUCCUUCUAAAACCUGGCAUUCUCUAGAUAAUAUGAGAUUCCAAUGUCCAGAAUUCCUAGUUAGUGUGAUUUCUUGGAAUUCUGAGAAUUGCUG